rnacentral:rRNA from 1 species
UUAGAGUUUGAUCAUGGCUCAGAUUGAACGCUGGCGGCAGGCCUAACACAUGCAAGUCGAGCGGUAGAGAGAAGCUUGCUUCUCUUGAGAGCGGCGGACGGGUGAGUAAUGCCUAGGAAUCUGCCUGGUAGUGGGGGAUAACGCCCGGAAACGGACGCUAAUACCGCAUACGUCCUACGGGAGAAAGCAGGGGACCUUCGGGCCUUGCGCUAUCAGAUGAGCCUAGGUCGGAUUAGCUAGUUGGUGGGGUAAUGGCUCACCAAGGCGACGAUCCGUAACUGGUCUGAGAGGAUGAUCAGUCACACUGGAACUGAGACACGGUCCAGACUCCUACGGGAGGCAGCAGUGGGGAAUAUUGGACAAUGGGCGAAACUGAUCCAGCCAUGCCGCGUGUGUGAAGAAGGUCUUCGGAUUGUAAAGCACUUUAAGUUGAGAGGAAGGGCAGUAAAUUAAUACUUUGCUGUUUUGACGUUACCGACAGAAUAAGCACCGGCUAACUCUGUGCCAGCAGCCGCGGUAAUACAGAGGGUGCAAGCGUUAAUCGGAAUUACUGGGCGUAAAGCGCGCGUAGGUGGUUCGUUAAGUUGGAUGUGAAAUCCCCGGGCUCAACCUGGGAACUGCAUUCAAAACUGACGAGCUAGAGUAUGGUAGAGGGUGGUGGAAUUUCCUGUGUAGCGGUGAAAUGCGUAGAUAUAGGAAGGAACACCAGUGGCGAAGGCGACCACCUGGACUGAUACUGACACUGAGGUGCGAAAGCGUGGGGAGCAAACAGGAUUAGAUACCCUGGUAGUCCACGCCGUAAACGAUGUCAACUAGCCGUUGGGAGCCUUGAGCUCUUAGUGGCGCAGCUAACGCAUUAAGUUGACCGCCUGGGGAGUACGGCCGCAAGGUUAAAACUCA